rnacentral:lncRNA from 1 species
UACCGCGGCAGAACGCUGUCGGGACCUGGCUGCGGUCGACGUGUCUGGGAGUGCGGUGUGCCUGGUGUGGGAUCCCCGAGCUGCAUGCCGUGUCAGUCUGCGGCGCCACCAUACGUCCUUCUAGCCAGGCCAUCGGGAGGUGGGCAGCCUCGUUCUUCACGUUUCGCGGGCGGUUUGAGCGGUGCAUUUACCCUCGGUGAAAUAACUUCGUGCCAGUGACAUUGUAAUGCCUGCACAGUACAGGUUAACUCUGCUCGGUCGCCUAGGAAACGGCUGGUCAUGAGCAAUGCCGUGUGAGAGUGGCAGAAUGUUGUCGGGGGCCUGGCUGCGGACGACAUGGCUGCGAGUGGGCGCACUGCAAAGGAGGAUACCAGAGGGCAAGAACAAGUCCACGUACGGUGAUGGACAAGGAUACGGUGAAAACACGCAGUUCAUCGCAGCCGUGGCAGAUGAUGCCAUCCGUUCCCUAGGGGUCGAAUCAACGUGUUUUGAGUGACGUCAACGCAGACGACACCGACAUCAGAUUUAUUGUGGACGAAACUGGACAGGUGCAGGAAGGUGCGCUGCUUGUGGCAUCGCCGAAACUGGAGCCGUGUUCCGUGUCGGCGCCCCCAGGUGUCCUCCUCGCCAGUUCAACAAGACAACAAGGAGUGCGUGGAGCCGACCACCGUGCGAGUCCCGGCGCCGACAGACGUCCUCCUAGAAAGCUGAAGCAGGCGAGUGCAGCCGUGUUCUUCACGUUUUAAGGUGUGCGUGGCGUUGGAUCCUCAAGCCGGCCUCCCGUCAGUCCCGGCGCCAGCAGACGUUGUCCUGCCGGCCAAUCGAGAGGAGAUUACAGUAUGCCGGAGUUGGCAAGAUGCAGCAACCAGGGACUCAAGCUUCAUCCACCAAGCGGGCUGCUCCGCACAUAUUGGACACAUUCGUGAAAACAGUUCUGUCCCAGUUCUGGUUCUGUCCCAGGGAGUACUUCCAAGAGUUGGGCAUGAUGGCCAUAACCGCCGGAAUUCUCCCAGACGAUAAUAAAGCAAUGAAACAAAGCCUUCUAUGCGGCGCAAACAAGCAUAAAAGCCUUGGCGCACGCAAUGAGCA